rnacentral:lncRNA from 1 species
GUCCAUAAGAAGAUUGGUAAGCCAUAAAAUGCUCCAGUAAUUUUUUUUUAAGUGGCUCUCGAGAAAUGGGACGUGGGGCUUCGAUCAAAGAUGGAAAAAAGCCUUUCUUUAUUUUACAGGAUGGUGUUUAGCGGCACAGUGGCACAUGGAGUGGUCCAUAGAAAAUUAAAUGGGAUUUGAAGGGCCAUUCAGUGGAUGGGGUGCACAGCUGAAACUAAGUAGUUUUGUGC